ensembl:lncRNA
UCCUCCAUUCAUUCAUAACUCCUCAGAUGUGUUCUGUCCAGUGAAGGCAGUGGAGAAGCCCUACACUGAUCUUGAAACUGUGCCACGCUAGUAGAGACCGGCUACAAGGAUGGGCAGCUGUUUUCGCAAAGUCAGCCAACCACUUGCUUCCAAAUGACCCUUAUCCAGAAGUAUCCGUGAGUGCCUCAUCAACAGAAAAUAAAGUGGAGACCUACCUCUCAGAGAAAAACGCACACAUAAGAAAAGCCGACCCACUUCAGUACUGGGAAGAACAUCCUAAUCUGUUUCCCUCUAUGGCUGCUGUUGCGAUCCCAGUGUGCCCCCUGUAGCUCUGUGGACAGUUUUGGAUUUGUUUACAUCUCACCCAACCGCUCACGGCAGAUGGCUGCACCUCUCUAAGCCUGGUUCUGCCGGAGGUUUCUUCCUGUUAAAGGGAGUUUUUCUGAACACACUCUACCACCAACAAGGACAGCUCACCAGUGGGAACUGAUAGAUAAGACUGCUGAUGUGCUCUCAUCCAUUGAAGAGCUGACCAGAAACGUGAACAGAAAGACUGCACCUGAUGGGAUCCCUGCCAUAACAGGUCAUUUGUAUUUUUUUGUUUCUUACUUUAUAUUCUUUGAAACAAACUAUAAUCUCAUCCAUUCAUUAAGUCAUCCAUUCAUUCAUAACUCCUCAGAUGUGUUCUGUCCAGUGAAGGCAGUGGAGAAGCCCUACACUGAUCUUGAAACUGUGCCACGCUAGUAGAGACCGGCUACAAGGAUGGGCAGCUGUUUUCGCAAAGUCAGCCAACCACUUGCUUCCAAAUGACCCUUAUCCAGAAGUAUCCGUGAGUGCCUCAUCAACAGAAACUAAAGUGGAGACCUAUCUCUCAGAGAAAACGCACACAUAAGAAAAGCCGACCCACUUCAGUACUGGGAAGAACAUCCUAAUCUGUUUCCCUCUAUGGCUGCUGUUGCGAUCCCAGUGUGCCCCCUGUAGCUCUGUGGACAGUUUUGGAUUUGUUUACAUCUCACCCCAACCGGUCGCGGCAGAUGGCCGCCCCUCCCUGAGCCUGGUUCUGCCGGAGGUUUCUUCCUGUCAAAAGGGAGUUUUUCCUUCCCACUGUCGCCAAAGUGCUUGCUCAUAGGGGGUCAUAUGAUUGUUGGGUUUAUCUAUAUACAUUAAUGCUUGUAUGCUUUUCAUUUAUACUUUUGCCUUACUCUUCAGUUCAUAAUAUAAAGUUACUUGAAUGGUUUCCUUUUCGUUUUCCUUUUUUAUUUUAUAUUGCUUUGCUAUUUACCACAAUCUAAAUAUCAUGUUUAAAUGUCAUACAUUAUUGUAAAUGGUAUCUGUACAAAAUAUUGUUUGAAUAACAUGAUACAUUUAUUAGUCCCACAACGGGAAAUUUCAUAAUUUGCAUGUGGUAUUUUCCCCUUUGACAUUAAAAUACCUUUGAAAUACAAAUUGAAUACCGCUUAAUGGACAUCUUUUU